CAACAGCUCCGCUCCCCUCCGUCCCGCCGGCGCGCCUGCCCGGACCCAGCGCGACCCUCCUGUGCCCCCAGCGAGGGGGACGUGUUCAAAGAAACAGAAAACAAAACAAAAACAAACCAAGGGCCAAAACCACUCUCACCUCGUUUGCUGCUCAAAGUGAUCAGAGAACAAAGGAAUCCUUGAAGAAAGUGAGACUCAAAGCAUCGCAGGAUAUAUGAUUUCUGAUUCUUUGUUCAGAAAACAAGGGCAUCCAUGCCAGCCAGUGCUUCGAUGGUGAGAAAAUUACUCUGCUUCAUGAAGAAUAAUUUCCUUCCUCAUUUAGGACAUGGUCUGAAAGAAUAGAAGAUGGUGGUCAUUCUUCAACAGUUUGACAGCCUACACUGCUUCAGAUGGUACAUUCUCUGUUACUACAUGGAAAUAUCAGGUCUUCUUCAAAAUAAAACUCACAACACUGGGCAUGGUGGUGCACAUCUGUAUUCCCAGUGUUGAAGCAAAAGAAUUGAGCGAGGGAAGCCAGCCCAUGAUACUUAGGGAAUUUAAGGUCAGCCUAGACCACAAAUAAACAAACAACAACAAUAACAACGACAACAUAAGAUGCCCAAACAAACAAAUAAAAAAACUCAACAGAUUUCACCGUGUCUCCCAACUCAAUCAUUGCU